rnacentral:rRNA from 1 species
UACGUAGGCAGCGAGCGUUGUUCGGAGUUACUGGGCGUAAAGGGUGCGUAGGCGGUUGUUUAAGUUGGUGUGAAAUCUCCCGGCUCAACUGGGAGGUGCGCCGAAUACUGAAUGACUAGAGUGCGGGAGAGGAAAGUGGAAUUCCUGGUGUAGCGGUGGAAUGCGUAGAGAUCCGGAAGAACACCGGUGGCGAAGGCGGCCCGCUGGGCAACUGCUGACACUGAGGCGCGACAGCGUGGGGAGCAAACAGG